CCAAUGGAAUUGUAAUCGCAAAUGAUAAGAUCUUGGUGUUAGAAGGUGAGAAGAGCGAGAUGUUGAGCUUGGUGAAGAAGACUUUUUAUUCUAACAAAGGAAUUUUUCUUCGUGAACUUAUCAUCAAUGCUUCUAAUGCUUUGGAUGAAAUCCAAUUUGAGAGGCUCACAAAAACAAAUAUUUUAAAAAUGAUGAACUAAUUGUUAGAUUAAUCAUUCACAAGGCUAACAAAACACUUUCUAUCAUCGACAAUGGUAUUGGCAUGACCAAAGCAGAUUUGGUCGAUAAUUUGGGUGUUGGCUUCUACUCUACUUAUUUGGUUGCUCAUAAGGUUAUCCUCACCUCCAAGCAUAAUGACCAUGACCAAUAUAUUUGGGAAUCUCAACCUAGUU